AACGAACGCUGGCGGCAUGCCUAACACAUGCAAGUCGAACGAGACCUUCGGGUCUAGUGGCGCACGGGUGCGUAACGCGUGGGAACCUGCCCUUAGGUUCGGAAUAACUCCCCGUAAGGGGUGCUAAUACCGGAUAAUUUCUUCGGAUCAAAGAUUUAUCGCCUUUGGAUGGGCCGGCGUUGGAUUAGCUAGUUGGUAGGGUAAAAGCCUACCAAGGCGACGCUCCAUAGCUGGUCUGAGAGGAUGAUCAGCCACACUGGGACUGAGACACGGCCCAGACUCCUACGGGAGGCGGCAGUGGGGAAUAUUGGACAAUGGGCGAAGUGCUGAUCCAGCAAUGCCGCGUGAGUGAUGAAGGCCUUAGAGUAGUAAAGCUCUUUUACCCGGGAUGAUAAUGACAGUACCGGGAGAAUAAGCUCCGGCUAACUCCGUG
rnacentral:rRNA from 1 species